GUAGGUCAGUAGUAGAGUGCUUGCCUAGCAUGUGUGAGGCCCUAGGUUCAAUCUCCAGCACCACACACAUGCCAAAAAGAAUAUAGUAUCAAACAUAACUUUCCCUUAUGAGGCAAGAGUAAUAAAUAUGGUAUUAUGCUAAUUCAUUAAAUGUAAUAUUAUAGUACUGAAUGUUUACCAUGUCUAGAUACUAUCCAUAUACUUCAUACAUAGUAUCUCAUUAAAAUUUAAAAAAAGCUCUAGUAUGAUUGGACCUUUGCGACAGAUGGGAAAAUUGGGGUACAGAGAGCCUGGAACAGAGAAUCCAACUGCAGGAUCCCUAUUCAAAACUACUGAUGUUAACACUAUCCUACUCUAAUACAGGAACAUGUACUUGUAUUAUUUUGUAUUAGCACAGUUUAAAUGAUUCCUUGUAAGGGGGGGAAUUCCAGAAUUUGCAAUGUGGUCAAUAUGAUUGUAGUCCCUAGAAAAAGAUGUAAAAUGUUUUUAGCAAGUUCAGAGUAAAGAGGCCUUGACAGCCAGGCAGAAUGGUGUAUGUCUGUAAUCCCAGCUACUCAGCUACGUACAGGAGGAUUGUAAGUUUGAGACCAGCCUGGAUAA
rnacentral:lncRNA from 1 species